GGCCUCGUAACUCAGCUGACAGAACGUGCGCGUAUAAAGCGUAUGCGGCGUUCUUGCGUGGGUUUGAAUCCCACCGAGGCUA
rnacentral:tRNA from 1 species